rnacentral:lncRNA from 1 species
CUAGGUUAUCUGGAUGGGGCCAAUGUAAUCAAGAGGAACCUUAAAAGUGGAAGGAGACAGAAGAAGGAAGUCCGAGUGGGAUGUCAUUGCAGGAAAAAAUGAUCAGUGAGAUCCAACAUUCUUGUCUUUGAAGAUGGAGGGAGACAGCCAAGAACCAUGAAUGCCACAGAAGAAUUGAAGUAGGAAUGAAUAUUUGACGAGCUGACCCAGUAAGAUCUUCUCGCCCCAGGCAGCUUAACUUCACCACACUCCUCUGCCAUGAUGUUUCUGCCUUGGAGCUAGCUGACCAUGGACUGAAUCCCAUGAAACUGUACCACUACCUUGGACUUUAUUUUCAAUUUUCUGCUUCAAUAGUUUUGGAAUGCACAACCAACAUUAACUUUAUUUUAAAUCCACAAAUGCAUGAAAGAGCUCAUUUAUGGUUACGAAUGCUCAGGGGAGAUAUUUUUUCAUCAUUUCAGAGCGAGAGUUUAGACAAGUUCUCUUUCUGUUUCUUUAUAUGUGACUGCUUUGUUUCACAUUCACUCUCAAGGUAAAAUUACUGUUUCCUGGGUGGAACAUAGACUUUCAGUUGUAAACUUCAUAUGCCGGGCCCUUGUC